UACAGAGACUGCAAGCGUUAUUCGGAUUCACUGGGCGUAAAGGGUGCGCAGGCGGUUGGGUGUGUCAGAUGUGAAAUCCCCGAGGCUUAACCUCGGAACUCGUCUGAAAACUACUCGACUAGAGUACUGGAGAGGGGAAAACGGAAAUUUCACGGUGUAGCAGUGAAAAUGCGUAGAUAUCGUGAGGAACACCAGAGGCGAAAGGCGGUGGGGCUGGGCCGGCACUGAGCUGAGGAGCGAAAAGCGUGGGGGGAGCGAAACAGG
rnacentral:rRNA from 1 species